CCUACGGGAGGCUGCAGUAAGGGAUAUUGGUCAAUGGGCGGAAGCCUGAACCAGCCAUGCCGCGUGCAGGAAGACAGCCUUCCGGGUUGAAAACUGCUUUCAUAUGCGAAUAAACUGCGGUACGCGUACUGCAGGUGCAAGUAGCAUAAGAAGAAGGAUCGGCUAACUCCGUGCCAGCAGCCGCGGUAAUACGGAGGAUCCGAGCGUUAUCCAGAUUCAUUGGGUUUAAAGGGUGCGUAGGCGGCGCGUAAAGUCAUAGGUGAAAGGCAUUGGCUCAACCAAUGCAGGGCCAAAGAAACUCACGCGCUAGGAUUCACCAGAAGUAGGCGGAAUGAGACAAGUAGCGGUGAAAUGCAUAGAUAUGUUUCAGAACACCAAUAGCGGAAGCAGCUUACUAGAGUUGGAUUGACGCUGAGGCACGAAAGCGUGGGGAUCAAACA
rnacentral:rRNA from 1 species